UACAGAGGGUGCGAGCGUUGUCCGGAAUCACUGGGCGUAAAGGGCGCGUAGGUGGCGACCCAAGUCCGUGGUGAAAGUUCGUCGCUUAACGACGAGUCGGCCACGGAGACUGGGUGGCUCGAGCACUGUAGGGGCAGAUGGAAUUCCGGGUGUAGCGGUGGAAUGCGUAGAGAUCCGGAAGAACACCAGUGGCGAAGGCGGUCUGCUGGGCAGUUGCUGACACUGAGGCGCGACAGCGUGGGGAGCAAACAGG
rnacentral:rRNA from 1 species